GUUCUUCCCUCUCAGAUUUGAUUUCACUGAGAGUAAGGUUUAAGUAAUUCCACUUCACGCUCUCUUCCUCUCCUUCUCAUAUGAGAGUUCUUCCCCUCCCCUUCCCAUGUGUAUCUUUAUAUGGGAAAGUUUAUUCUAUUGAUUCCCCCCCCUAUUUCUUGAAGUUAAUCUUAGUAUUAUCACGGUUCCCCCCUCCCUUUUCCUUUUUGAUUUCCUCCUUUUCCUUCUUAUUUUAGUGUGGAAAUGUUCAAGCCCCACGUACCUUUGCCUCUGUGGGGUACUGGGGAGUCCUUCUGUUCCUCUAAAGGUGAUUUUAUGCUCCUUUGAUGUAGUCUAUUUUGUUCGGUGCCGGGGAGAGGAAGCGAGUGGCGUCUAGAUUGCAGCCAUGAUUACCCGGAAGUCUCAAUAGUUUUCAUUUCUUUAUCUGAGAACUGCCUAUCCAUUUCCCUUGCCCAUUUAUCAAUUGGAGAAUGGCUUGAUUUUUUGUACAAUUGAUUAACUCAUUAUAAAUAUGAGUAAUUAAACCUUUGUCAGAGGUUUCUAUGAAGAUUUUUUCCCAAUUUGUUGUUUCCCUUCUGAUUUUAGUUACAUUGGUUUUGUUUGUACAAAAGCUUUUUAGUUUGAUGUAGUCAAAAUUAUUUAUUUUACAUUUUGUGAUUCUUUCUAUAUCUUGCUUGGUUUUAAAGCCUUUCCCCUCCCAAAGGUCUGACAUGUAUACUAUUCUGUGUUUACCCAAUUUAUUUAUGGUUUCUUUCUUUAUGUUUAAGUCACUCA
rnacentral:lncRNA from 1 species